CUUCUCCUCCUCCCGCCACGAAUAAACCCAAAGCCCGGCCCUCUUCCCUUUGACCUCCAUAGCCGAAACCCUCGACGCCUAUCGAUCUCUUGCAUCGAUGGUCCCUUCGUUCUUCGAGCUGCGUGAAAUCCGCGGGGCGCGUGCCGUUUCAUCAUCUUGCUUGGCCGUGGAGCCGCCGCUCCUCGUCCGAUGUAGUUGAAGCCCAAGCGCAGCGCGGUGGCGGAGGCGAGGCCAACGUCGCGGCCGAUGCCCUCUAUCACAGGGCUUCCGCUUAUAUAGAGAUGGGUCAUCUUUAAGUUCAACAGUGAUGCUUCAAGCUGACCUACAGCAAAGUCUCUUUCACUUUCUACCAGAGGCAAAUGAACUUGUAAACCUCCACUGCUUAUUAUGUAAGUAGAAUUUAACUUUGUUCCUCACUGUGUCCUUUUUUCCAUUCUUCACAGACCAUCAACAGUUCAUUAAAUUAUUCUGCUUUAACGAAUUCAGAUUUUAAAACAUUGCAUGGUUCCAUAUAUCAUUCUGCUGCUGUCUUCAAUCCAUAAUCUUAAUUUUGAUUUUCUAUGCUAAUUACUCUCUUCAACUUGCCAAAUAAUCUGCUAAGCAUAAGUUUUAUCCCAUGAAAAAAUUGCUGGAAAAACUUGACUUGGGUAUGUUCCCAACCUGGUUUCCGGGAGGAGAUCGACGACAACCAGAAGCCAUACGAUGCCGACCUGGAAGAGAUCAGUUGAGUUAAAGUUGCAGGCGUAAAUGGAGGCAGCGUUAUUUUUAACUACUUUUCUACUAGGCAAAUGGAAUCAAGUAGAUGAGCUCAGCCAGGGGUGACUGACAAAAUAGGUCUUGACAUGUUGCGGACAGGACCACGAGGGAAUAUUCAUGGCUGUGAUGUACAGUUUUCACAUUUGUCCCACAAAAAGCUGGAAUAGUACUGGGCACAGGGAAGGUUCAGGUUCACGGUAUGAUUGGCCAAUGUGGAGCGAAUUAGUCAGUCCCCUGUUCUAUAAAUUUCAUUGUCAGAGUAUGAACGGUAUUAUCCAUCUGAUCAAUAUUAGAUGAGCAGACCGGCAAAAGAUAAACUACGUUGAUUGAUGA